AGCAGCCGCGGUAAUUCCAGCUCCAAUAGCGUAUAUUAAAGUUGUUGCAGUUAAAAAGCUCGUAGUUGAAUUUCGGGGUUAGCAGGUCGGUCGUGCCAUCGGUAUGAACUGGUCUCGCUGAUCCCUCCCUCUUGACGAACUGUGAUGCCAUUAAUUUGGUGUCGCAGGGAAUCAGGACUGUUACUUUGAAAAAAUUAGAGUGUUUAAAGCAGGCUCACGCUUGAAUACAUUAGCAUGGAAUAAUGAAAUAGGACGUUUGAUCCUAUUUUGUUGGCUUCUAGGAUUGACGUAAUGAUUAAUAGGGAUAGUUGGGGGCAUUAGUAUUCAAUUGUCAGAGGUGAAAUUCUUGGAUUUAUUGAAGACUAACUACUGCGAAAGCAUUUGCCAAGGAUGUUUUCAUUAAUCAAGAACGAAAGUUAGGGGAUCGAAGACGAUCAGAUACCGUCGUAG
rnacentral:rRNA from 1 species